UAUACUCAUUCUCUGGUUUCUACCUGAAGAGAUUUGGCUCUCCUAAGUGGUUAUUCAAGCCUGCUUUUAUACAAAGAUUGCUUGAAGGCAUAAUAUUACUCAUGAGCUAUCCUGUCUGCCUCUGGGACCAUGCAAUCUUGUUCUGUACUGCUGAAGUAUAAGAGGAAAGGUCCUGAACCAUGAAGUGACUAGAAUCCAUCUAGGACUGGCAGCUGCAUGACCAACCCAGGAGCUGCAGGGAAACUGAAGCAGUGGACACACUGAUGAUGGCUGGAGAAUGGCAAAUUGAUGGUCCUAAAUCCUAGGUAUACACCCUCUGAAAACAAGAUAACAGA